GAUGAACGCUGGCGGCGUGCCUAAUACAUGCAAGUCGAGCGAACAGACGAGGAGCUUGCUCCUCUGACGUUAGCGGCGGACGGGUGAGUAACACGUGGAUAACCUACCUAUAAGACUGGGAUAACUUCGGGAAACCGGAGCUAAUACCGGAUAAUAUAUUGAACCGCAUGGUUCAAUAGUGAAAGACGGUUUUGCUGUCACUUAUAGAUGGAUCCGCGCCGCAUUAGCUAGUUGGUAAGGUAACGGCUUACCAAGGCAACGAUGCGUAGCCAACCUGAGAGGGGGAACGGACACAGGGGAAGUGAGACACGGCACGAAAUCCUACGGGAGGCAGAAGGGGGGAAUCUUCGAGAAUGGGGAAAAGCCGAAAGAGGAAACGCCGGUGGAGGGAAGAAGGUCUGCGGAUCGAAAAACCUUUUUUAAGGGGAAAAAAAAAGGAAAAAGAAAAAAGGCCCGUUUGGAGGGUACCUAUACAGAAAACCCGGGCUAACUAGGU
rnacentral:rRNA from 1 species